UAGGAUUCUGUGCUCUGUUUAAAAAUGUGAUAAAAAUGUUUGUAAAGAUGCUUGCUUUGUAGGAAUGAUUUUUGGGGAGCUUCCUUUCUUGUGUGCAAGGAAGAUUAAUCAGGCAUAAACACCUAACAUGAGGAGUCAGUGGAAAAUCUUCUUCGAAAAGAUUAAAAAACCCAAACUUUAGAUUCCAGUUUCUUGCAUUUAAAAAAAAAAAAAGCUCUACUAGUGCUUUGAUAUUGAAUUUACAUGUCAGCCUAUGAAGGAGCUGUGAAGUGCUUUAGUCUUGAAAUUGCUAUGGAGUCAGUGCCUUUUUUUAAAAGUGAAAAUUAUUAAUCUGGAUCACAAGAAGGCUUGGAUUUUUGGAACUGGGAUAAUCUCAUGCAACUGAAGAUGUUCAUGAAUUGUUAGGUCACAGCUGGAACCACUGAUGGAAGCACCUGGUGAAAGGGUGUAGCCAGCUCUGGGAACACAGGUGGAAGCAAUUCCUCCUAACCUCAUAUAAUGGCUGGCAGCUGGGAAAAAUUUCUACUUCGAAAUCAUCUCCUUUGGAGUGCUUGGUGCUUGAUCCUUGGAAUGGGCUGCCUUCAUUACAACUAUCCUUUGGAAGUUCUGCAGUAGAUAUCUUGGUGUUUUUUUUCUGCCCUUGGACUUUCCCUGAACAGUGCCUGACUCACAUUCAUCUUGGUCUAAUGUGUAUAUCCUACCUUUUUCCUAAGAUGAUUCUGAGAGUAAUCUUGGAAACUUCCAGACAUUAUUUUUGUCUUAAUAAAAGAAUUAAAUUCACCUUAACUGUGCUAGUGUUGUGUGAUGAACGCAUUCUUAUUCAGUUCCCCCAUUAUGUCCUUUAUUUUGUGCAAUCUCAUUUUCCUUUUCCUCCUUAACAUGAUUUUUCUCAAGUUCAUGUAACAAUAGGAAUUGAUCAGCAGGACUUCCUCUCAAUAUGUAUGCAGGAGAAUGUUGUCUGCAUGUGUGUGCAUUAAAUUCCUUGUAUUAGAGAAGGAAAAGCCUAUUUCUUUCAAAAGUAGCAUCCUUGUAGAAUGUUAUCAAUCCAGUUAAAACAUUAAAUUUUUCAGACUUUAAGCACUCCUUUCAAAAUCCAUUUUAUUCCACAUGUUCUCUUCAGUUAUUCAGGAAACCUUGGAGAUAUGACUUAGCUAGAAUGCCAUUAGCUGUGAGCUGUCUACUCUUUGUCCCUUUUCUUUCUGGGAUUUUUCACUGCAUCAUUCUGGUGGGUAAUCUGUGGUAAAUGUAACUUCUGGAAAAACUGUCUUACACAUAUUUAUCCUUAAUUUAAAUAAUUCAUUAAAAGCAAGAUUGGUCUCCUGAGGGAAGUGUACGUACUUUUCCAGUACCAUGUAUUUCUGCUUUUUGCUGAAAGCUGUUACAUUUGCUUUUAACUACACUCAAAUUAUUUUAGUAGAAUUAGGUCCUACAUGCACAUUCUUAACGUAUCAUAAUAACACUUCCUUAGCCUCAAUUGAUUUGUACAAAAUUGGAUGGAAGACUUUUACUACUUUGCUGUCUUCAAGUUUAUUUAUCCCAAGAUAAGUUUUUAAAUACUGAGAGAAACAUGGAAACAACCAUUCAUUUAUCUUCUGGGAUGAUUAGUUUAUCUUCAAGUUUAAGUGCUUUAAUACUGAGCAACUGCAGAGAUUUGUGUGGUACUUUGAUACUGUAAUCAAAGUUAUUCUCUAAAGGCUGAUUAUGAUGAUAAACUUCUCAGAUUGUAGUGAUUCUUGUAAGAAUAGGAAUACCUUGAACUGUGAGAUCUAUUUCUAUGUUGAAAAGUACUCAUUAUAUUGUAAUUGUUGAAGACACAUUUGUUGAUCGUAUUAAAAAUAAAACU